UGGCCUCUUCUUUUUUGUCUCGCUCUGUCUCCCAGGCUGAAGUGCAGUGGCACCAUUUCAGCUCACUGCAACCUCUACCUCCUGGGUUCAAGAGGUUCUCCUACCUCAGACCCUUGAGUAGGUCGGACUGCAGGCACCUGCCACCACACCUGGCUAAUUUUUAUAUUUUUCGUAGAGACAAGAUUUCACCAUAUUGGCCAGACCGAUGUCGAACUCCUGACUUCAAAUGAUCCACCUGUCUCGGCCUCCCAAAGAUUACAGACUCAUCCCCGAGGUGAUUUCUACCCUGCUCUGCUCUGGGACAGGAAGCAGCUUUGUGUGUAGUGCAUGUUGAACAGUGACCACUUCACUGACUGAGCUCCAGCCCCAGGACACUGCUCCAGUCUCAGCCAGAAGCAACAUGGGGUUCACCUCACCUUGGAUGGGACAAAAGGAAUGAAAACUAAGGCAAUGAGCAGAGAUGGCAUCCUGCGUUUCGGGCAUUAGUGAGUUUUCCAUAAGCUUGAGGAUGACCUCACAUAAAGUUAUAUAAGUGAUAUUGGUCUGAAUAUUGGUCUGAUAUUGGUCACGAACGCUCACAUCUUGGUCUUCUGACCUCCCCUAUGGUCUUUCUAGGAAGAUCAGUCCUUUCCCUCUCCCCACUAUACUAAGCAGAUGGCUUGGAGUAGCUUCUGAGGCUGGAGAGGGAGGAUUCCACCUCAGCCCUGAAUGGCUGACUCAGCUCAGCUCCACUCUAAGGACUCAGGCAGUGCAUCAUUUUCUUCUCUGCUUCUGGGCUUUAGAAAGUGUCUUGAGAAGUGCAUGGCUGAGAGAGAGAGGAAACAGGUGGACACCACAUGGGCUGGAGGAAGCCCAGGGUCACCAAAUCAUCCUGGGCCAGAAGGCAAUUGUUCCUUUUGGAAGAUGAUGUGUUAAUCAUCAGAUCACUGAGCUGUCAGGGGGCAGAGAAGGAAAAGUUAAAGUCAGGGCUUGUUCGAUUUGCUAUGAGGAACUAUUUCGCAGCAGUUUGAGUCACUUUUAGUCCUUAUUCUCAUCAGCAAUAAGUUGGUUGUUGGAAAGAGCUGAAUAUGGUAAUUUACGCCAGGUGAACUACACUGUGCUCUGUGCUUCCAGGGUGUUUUUUGGAGUCCUGGAACUUUGUAGCUGGGAAAGACCAUCUGGUCCAGUGCCUGAUGAUUGAUUGGUUCUUGCUCAUGAUUAUUCAAUCAUACUGAUUCUCUGGAGAAGGGAAGUGACCUGUCCAAGGUUGUGUAGCAUGUUAUGGCUAGAGGGGGUCUGGUCCCAGGCAGUAGGUCCCCUUCUCCACAGGGGACCAUUAAAUUCUGUGCUCCUGGAAACCUCUGUCAUAAAUAUGAUCACCAAAAUGAGCUGAGUGGAAGGACAAAUGUAAAGAAUUUCAUAUAUCACAUGUUAUUUUCGUAUUGAUUUGUUAAUUUUAUUUUAUUUAAAAAAAUUUUAGUGGUUUUUAUAAAGAGUUUUUAUUUUGUUCUUUAUACUUUGUGUAUUUUCUUUUUUAUUAUACUUUAAG